GAUGAACGCUGGCGGCGUGCUUAACACAUGCAAGUCGAACGGUGAAAGCGGAGCUUGCUCUGCUGGAUCAGUGGCGAACGGGUGAGUAACACGUGAGCAAUCUGCCCCUGACUCUGGGAUAAGCGCUGGAAACGGCGUCUAAUACCGGAUACGAGCUGCGAAGGCAUCUUCAGCAGCUGGAAAGAACUUCGGUCAGGGAUGAGCUCGCGGCCUAUCAGCUAGUUGGUGAGGUAACGGCUCACCAAGGCGUCGACGGGUAGCCGGCCUGAGAGGGUGACCGGACACACUGGGACUGAGACACGGCCCAGACUCCUACGGGAGGCAGCAGUGGGGAAUAUUGCACAAUGGGCGCAAGCCUGAUGCAGCAACGCCGCGUGAGGGACGACGGCCUUCGGGUUGUAAACCUCUUUUAGCAGGGAAGAAGCGAAAGUGACGGUACCUGCAGAAAAAGCGCCGGCUAACUACGUGCCAGCAGCCGCCGUAACAC
rnacentral:rRNA from 1 species